rnacentral:rRNA from 1 species
GAUGAACGCUGGCGGCGUGCCUAAUACAUGCAAGUCGAGCGAACGGACGAGAAGCUUGCUUCUCUGAUGUUAGCGGCGGACGGGUGAGUAACACGUGGAUAACCUACCUAUAAGACUGGGAUAACUUCGGGAAACCGGAGCUAAUACCGGAUAAUAUUUUGAACCGCAUGGUUCAAAAGUGAAAGACGGUCUUGCUGUCACUUAUAGAUGGAUCCGCGCUGCAUUAGCUAGUUGGUAAGGUAACGGCUUACCAAGGCAACGAUGCAUAGCCGACCUGAGAGGGUGAUCGGCCACACUGGAACUGAGACACGGUCCAGACUCCUACGGGAGGCAGCAGUAGGGAAUCUUCCGCAAUGGGCGAAAGCCUGACGGAGCAACGCCGCGUGAGUGAUGAAGGUCUUCGGAUCGUAAAACUCUGUUAUUAGGGAAGAACAUAUGUGUAAGUAACUGUGCACAUCUUGACGGUACCUAAUCAGAAAGCCACGGCUAACUACGUGCCAGCAGCCGCGGUAAUACGUAGGUGGCAAGCGUUAUCCGGAAUUAUUGGGCGUAAAAGCGCGCGUAGGCGGUUUUUUAAGUCUGAUGUGAAAGCCCACGGCUCAACCGUGGAGGGUCAUUGGAAACUGGAAAACUUGAGUGCAGAAGAGGAAAGUGGAAUUCCAUGUGUAGCGGUGAAAUGCGCAGAGAUAUGGAGGAACACCAGUGGCGAAGGCGACUUUCUGGUCUGUAACUGACGCUGAUGUGCGAAAGCGUGGGGAUCAAACAGGAUUAGAUACCCUGGUAGUCCACGCCGUAAACGAUGAGUGCUAAGUGUUAGGGGGUUUCCGCCCCUUAGUGCUGCAGCUAACGCAUUAAGCACUCCGCCUGGGGAGUACGACCGCAAGGUUGAAACUCAAAGGAAUUGACGGGGACCCGCACAAGCGGUGGAGCAUGUGGUUUAAUUCGAAGCAACGCGAAGAACCUUACCAAAUCUUGACAUCCUUUGACAACUCUAGAGAUAGAGCUUUCCCCUUCGGGGGACAAAGUGACAGGUGGUGCAUGGUUGUCGUCAGCUCGUGUCGUGAGAUGUUGGGUUAAGUCCCGCAACGAGCGCAACCCUUAAGCUUAGUUGCCAUCAUUAAGUUGGGCACUCUAAGUUGACUGCCGGUGACAAACCGGAGGAAGGUGGGGAUGACGUCAAAUCAUCAUGCCCCUUAUGAUUUGGGCUACACACGUGCUACAAUGGACAAUACAAAGGGCAGCGAAACCGCGAGGUCAAGCAAAUCCCAUAAAGUUGUUCUCAGUUCGGAUUGUAGUCUGCAACUCGACUACAUGAAGCUGGAAUCGCUAGUAAUCGUAGAUCAGCAUGCUACGGUGAAUACGUUCCCGGGUCU